UACGUAGGCAGCAAGCGUUGUUCGGAGUUACUGGGCGUAAAGGGUGUGUAGGCGGUUGCUUAAGUUUGGUGUGAAAUCUCCCGGCUCAACCGGGAGGGUGCGCCGAAUACUGAGUGACUAGAGUGCGGGAGAGGAAAGUGGAAUCCUGGUCGUAGCGGUGAAAUGCGUAGAUAUCAGGAGGAACACCUGUGGUGUAGACAGCUUACUGGACCACUUCUGACGCUGGAGGCACGAAAGCGUGGGGAGCGAACAGG
rnacentral:rRNA from 1 species